CAAUUUGAAACUUGACUUUGAUUUUCCCAGAUAUUUCUUCAAAUCUUUAAAUAUUUUCUCCUUGUGCUCUAUGAUUUGCUCCCAAAAGCUCCAAGGAAAAGAAAAGAAAAAGAAGAGAAAAAUGAAGAAGAAAGAAAAAGAAAAGAGAAAGAAAACUACGAGAAUAGAGUCUUGGGUUUUCUUUCCAAGAUGAAGAAUGAUGAGAAAAUGGUUGAAUUUGCUUUUUAAAAGACCCAAAAAUCGUGUUUUGUUAAUUACAAAAUGGUCCCCAAUUAAAAAAUUUAGGCAAACAGGUCUUGGUAUGCAGCCGCGGCGUUGCGAUGCCUUGAAGUGGCGUUAUAAAACCAUAGUGGAUAGAGUUGUGGCGUCGCGGUGCUGCUACAGUGGCGCUGCGGUGUUGCUACAGUGCCACCUACCAUUUUUUAUUUGCAACUCAGGUCCUACUCAUAUUUGCACAGUAGAUCCCUCAAUUUUGAACUUGCACAAAUUUGGUCCUCCAAUUUUGACUUUUCUUUCAAUUUUGCCCUCCAAAAUUGCCAACUCCAAGUCCUUGAACUUUCAGUCCUUUUGCAUUUUGGUCCCCAACUUCACAAAUUUGCACACUUUUAAUCCUUCUCACUCCAUUUUUCCUCAUUUUGCUUUGUUCUCUUUGCUUUGUGAUUUUACCUACAAAAGCAAAUAUUAUAUGAUUGUUAGUGAUAUUCCAUUCAUUUAAUCAAUUAAUAACAUAUUUAGAUAUUAAAUAAGUGUAUAAAAACAUACUUAUCAGCAUUCCUUCAUAAAACAACAUUUCAUAGAAUUGUUCAAGUCAUAAAUAUGAACUUAGAAAAUGAACCAUGUCACGUCAUGCUAUCAUAGAUAUAGCCAAUUAUCAUGUAAACUACUCUGUUUGGUUGGGAUUAAAAUAAAAAUUUUCGUAGCUUUUAAUAAAAAUUAAUAAAAUGUGUGGUUGAAAAGUUGUGGGACCUAUGAAAUAUAUGAUUAAAAUUAAUUAUUCACUUUAGCUUGGAUUAAAAUCUGAAUUUUAGUAGGUACCAAACAAGGGCUUACUAGCAAUUUAUACAUGUAUUUUUUUAUUCAGUCAAAGUCAAACACUAAUUUCAACUGUACAUUCAUAUUUGUUAUUCAUUUAUUAUUCACACAUUUCUAGGGAUCCACUUCUGCUCAUCUUAAGAAUUUACUAAUAAAUUUACACGUACGGAGACAUAAUUAAUCGUCAACUAGAGAACUCUCACAAUCUACGAAGAGGAAAAGUACGACAAACAAUUUUGGAUCCAGUAGGACUUGUUUCCUCUAAGUGAUGGGAUAAAAGUAUUGGGUCUAUGAUCAAUGUUAUUAAGAUCAACUGAAGUAAACUUAAAAAUCAUCUAUCCUAAUUAUUGUAUUUCUAUUUUCAACUCAUUUUUAUGUUUCUUGAAUAAUUACACCAAUUUUGAGCAUGUUUAAAAGUAAUUUUUCAAAAAGUAAGCUUUGUUAAUUAGUGUAAAAUCAACUUUAAAAAUUUAUGAUCGACAAAUAAGUAACUUAAAAAGUAAGUUACAUUUAACCAGUUCCAUCAAUUUGUGCAACGCAAAUGCAACCAAGAUUUAUAAAUUUGGUGGAGAUUUGAAGUUUUGAAAGUAAAGAAAAGCCAGAGGGGAUAUUAUAAUAAGGAAAAAUUAAUGGUUGGCUUAAUGUCCUGUGUGCACGACAGAAUUG
rnacentral:lncRNA from 1 species